rnacentral:rRNA from 1 species
UACGUAGGGCGCAAGCGUUGUCCGGAAUUAUUGGGCGUAAAGAGCUCGUAGGCGGUUUGUCGCGUCUGCUGUGAAAUCCCCAGGCUCAACCUGGGGCGUGCAGUGGGUACGGGCAGACUAGAGUGCGGUAGGGGAGACUGGAAUUCCUGGUGUAGCGGUGGAAUGCGCAGAUAUCAGGAGGAACACCGGUGGCGAAGGCGGGUCUCUGGGCCGUUACUGACGCUGAGGAGCGAAAGCAUGGGGAGCGAAC